CCAUGGCAACGCCUAGCCAUUGACUUGUUUCAGCUGAAACAAGUCAAUGGCUAGGCGUUGCCAUGGC
rnacentral:pre_miRNA from 1 species